rnacentral:pre_miRNA from 1 species
UGUUAUGCGACUAACUUCGUUCAGUUUGGUGUCAUACGAAGGUUUCCAGUUUCAUCACUGGGCAAAGUUUGUCGCAUAAA